rnacentral:tRNA from 1 species
GGGAGUAUAUUACAAAGGUAGUAUAGCGGUCUCCAAAACCGUUGAUGUGGGUUCGAUUCCUGCUGUUCCUG